AGAGCGAACGCUGGCGGCAGGCUUAACACAUGCAAGUCGAGCGGGCGUAGCAAUACGUCAGCGGCAGACGGGUGAGUAACGCGUGGGAACAUACCUUUUGGUUCGGAACAACACAGGGAAACUUGUGCUAAUACCGGAUAAGCCCUUACGGGGAAAGAUUUAUCGCCGAAAGAUUGGCCCGCGUCUGAUUAGCUAGUUGGUGAGGUAACGGCUCACCAAGGCGACGAUCAGUAGCUGGUCUGAGAGGAUGAUCAGCCACAUUGGGACUGAGACACGGCCCAAACUCCUACGGGAGGCAGCAGUGGGGAAUAUUGGACAAUGGGCGCAAGCCUGAUCCAGCCAUGCCGCGUGAGUGAUGAAGGCCCUAGGGUUGUAAAGGCUCUUUUGUGCGGGAAGAUAAUGACGGUACCGCAAGAAUAAGCCCGGCUAACUUCGCGCCAGCAGCCGC
rnacentral:rRNA from 1 species